GUCGAACGGUAGUAUUAUCUUCGGAUAAUAUGAGAGUGGCGAACGGGUGAGUAACACGUAAGAAUCUACCUUUAGGGCGGGGAUAACUUCUGGAAACGGAUGCUAAUACCCGAUAUGCUGUGGAGUGAAAUGAAUUUCGCCUAAAGAUGAUCUUGCGUCUGAUUAGCUAGAUAGGGUGGUAACGGCGCCCUAUGGCGACGAUCAGUAGCUGGUCUGAGAGGAUGGACAGCCACAUUGGGACUGAGACACGGCCCAAACUCCUACGGGAGGCAGCAGUGGGGAAUUUUCCGCAAUGGGCGAAAGCCUGACGGAGCGACGCUGCGUGAAGGAUGACGGCCUGAGGGUUGUAAACUUCUUUUCUCGAAGAAGAAUCAAUGACGGUAUUCGAGGAAUAAGCAUCGGCUAACUCUGUGCCAGCAGCCGCGGUAAGACAGAGGAUGCAAGUGUUAUUCGGAUUGAUUGGGCGUAAAGCGUCUGUAGGCGGUUUAGAAAGUCUUUUGUGAAAUACUUCAGCUCAACUGGGGCUCCGCAAAAGAAACUUCUAGACUUGAGGGAAGUAGAGGUACAGGGAAUUUCCGGUGGAGCGGUGAAAUGCGUAGAUAUCGGAAGGAACACCAAUAUGGCGAAGGCACUGUACUGGGCUUUACCUGACGCUAAGAGACGAAAGCUAAAGGAGUGAUUAGGAUUAGAUACCCUAGUAAUUUUAGCCGUAAACGAUGGAAACUCACUGCCGAGCCGGUAUUCGGAGCGGUGGUCAAGCUAACGCGUGAAGUUUCCCGCCUGGGGAUUACGCAUGCAAAUGUGAAACUCAAAGGAAUUGACGGGGACCCGCACAAGCGGUGGAGUAUGUGGUUUAAUUCGAUGCAACGCGAAAAACCUUACCAAGGUUUGAAAUCAUUCUAAAACUCUUUGAAAGAAGAGCCUCCUUCGGGAUAGAAUGACAGUGGUGCAUGGCUGUCGUCAGCUCGUGUGUGAAAUGUCAAGUAAGUCUGUACGAGCGCAACCCAUGUCUUUGUGCUGUUACAGUGCUAAAAGAGACUGCCGCUCUACAGCGAAGAAGGGGGGAUGAUGUCAAGUCAGCAUGCCCUUAUAUCUGGCUUACCACGUACUACAACGGUAGGGGUACAAUAGAGUCGCAACUUGCGAAGGCUAGCCCAUCUCAAAGACCUACUCUCAGUGCUCGGAGGAUUCUCGCCACUCGAACGUCAGGAAAGGGAGAAUCCCCCUGGUA
rnacentral:rRNA from 1 species